rnacentral:tRNA from 1 species
GGCUCAGUGGAGAGAGCAUCAGCCUGGGGACUGAAGGGUCCCAGGUUCGAUUCCUGG